UCCUCAUCGUCCUCCUCAUCCUCCUGCUUCAGUACGUCCUCUCUAAUAGUUGGUGGAUGAGAGACAGAUAUCUCAGUAUUUUGUAAUAAAAAAAUAAAAUAUUAUUAAUAAAUUUUGAUACGAAAGCAUAUAUUUCGAUAUACUGCUCUGAUUCUCGAAUGACUUAUUCCUACAUAUUCCAUUCGAUGAUAUAGAGCUAUAGACACUUCAGACCUAUUGAUUGAAUGGUUAGAUUGAAUUGUUAUCCUAUAGAUCUCAUUUUUGAAUUAUUAAUAAGUUUUGAUAUGAAAGCAUAUAUGUCGAUAUAGAGACGUAUAUUUGGAUAUACUACUUCAAUUCUCAAACAAAUUAUUUCUACAUAUUUCAUUUGAUGAUACAGAGCUAUAGACACUUUUGACCCAUCAAUUGGAUGGUUAGAUUAGAUUAUUACCUCCU
rnacentral:lncRNA from 1 species